GUUGGUGAACCAGCGGAGGGAUCAUUGCUGGAACGCGCUUCGGCGCACCCAGAAACCCUUUUGUGAACUUAUACCUAUUGUUGCCUCGGCGUAGGCCGGCUUUUUCUAAAAGCCCCCUGGAAACAGGGAGAAGCCCGCCGGCGGCCAACCAAACUCUUGUUUCUACAGUGAAUCUCUGAGUAAAAAACAUAAAUGAAUCAAAACUUUCAACAACGGAUCUCUUGGUUCUGGCAUCGAUGAAGAACGCAGCGAAAUGCGAUAAGUAAUGUGAAUUGCAGAAUUCAGUGAAUCAUCGAAUCUUUGAACGCACAUUGCGCCCUCUGGUAUUCCGGAGGGCAUGCCUGUUCGAGCGUCAUUUCAACCCUCAAGCCUGGCUUGGUGAUGGGGCACUGCCUGUAAAAGGGCAGGCCCUGAAAUCUAGUGGCGAGCUCGCCAGGACCCCGAGCGUAGUAGUUAUAUCUCGCUCUGGAAGGCCCUGGCGGUGCCCUGCCGUUAAACCCCCAACUUCUGAAAAUUUGACCUCGGAUCAGGUAGGAAUACCCGCUGAACUUAAGC
rnacentral:rRNA from 1 species